UGAGGAAUCUUGCGCAAUGGGGGCAACCCUGACGCAGCAACGCCGCGUGAGUGAGGAAGGCCUUCGGGUCGUAAAGCUCUGUCGGGUGGAAAGAAACGUAUAGAUGUUAACAGCAUUUAUACUUGACGGUACCGCCAAAGGAAGCACCGGCUAACUCCGUGCCAGCAGCCGCGGUAAUACGGGGGGUGCAAGCGUUGUUCGGAAUUAUUGGGCGUAAAGAGCGUGUAGGCGGCUGAAUAAGUCAGAUGUGAAAGCCCUGGGCUCAACCCAGGAAGUGCAUUUGAUACUGUUCGGCUAGAGUAGGGGAGAGGGAAGUGGAAUUCCUGGUGUAGAGGUGAAAUUCGUAGAUAUCAGGAGGAACACCGGUGGCGAAGGCGACUUCCUGGCCCUAUACUGACGCUGAGACGCGAGAGCGUGGGGAGCAAACAGG
rnacentral:rRNA from 1 species